rnacentral:rRNA from 1 species
UCUGGUGGCUAUGGCGGAGGGGUCCCACCCGUUCCCAUUCCGAACACGGAAGUUAAGCCCUCCAGCGCCGAAGAUACUUGGGUCACAAGGCCCCGGAAAAAUAGGUCGCCGCCAGAU